UUUGUGACAUACCUAUAACUGUUGCUUCGGCGGGCAGGGUCUCCGUGACCCUCCCGGCCUCCCGCCCCCGGGCGGGUCGGCGCCCGCCGGAGGAUAACCAAACUCUGAUUUAACGACGUUUCUUCUGAGUGGUACAAGCAAAUAAUCAAAACUUUUAACAACGGAUCUCUUGGUUCUGGCAUCGAUGAAGAACGCAGCGAAAUGCGAUAAGUAAUGUGAAUUGCAGAAUUCAGUGAAUCAUCGAAUCUUUGAACGCACAUUGCGCCCGCCAGCAUUCUGGCGGGCAUGCCUGUUCGAGCGUCAUUUCAACCCUCAAGCUCUGCUUGGUGUUGGGGCCCUACAGCUGAUGUAGGCCCUCAAAGGUAGUGGCGGACCCUCCCGGAGCCUCCUUUGCGUAGUAACUUUACGUCUCGCACUGGGAUCCGGAGGGACUCUUGCCGUAAAACCCCCAAUUUUCCAAAGGUUGACCUCGGAUCAGGUAGGAAUACCCGCUGAACUUAAGCAUAUCAAUAAGGCCGGAGGAA
rnacentral:rRNA from 1 species